rnacentral:rRNA from 1 species
GAUGAACGCUGGCGGCGUGCCUAAUACAUGCAAGUCGAGCGAACAGACGAGGAGCUUGCUCCUCUGACGUUAGCGGCGGACGGGUGAGUAACACGUGGAUAACCUACCUAUAAGACUGGGAUAACUUCGGGAAACCGGAGCUAAUACCGGAUAAUAUAUUGAACCGCAUGGUUCAAUAGUGAAAGACGGUUUUGCUGUCACUUAUAGAUGGAUCCGCGCCGCAUUAGCUAGUUGGUAAGGUAACGGCUUACCAAGGCAACGAUGCGUAGCCGACCUGAGAGGGUGAUCGGCCACACUGGAACUGAGACACGGUCCAGACUCCUACGGGAGGCAGCAGUAGGGAAUCUUCCGCAAUGGGCGAAAGCCUGAAGGAGCAACGCCGCGUGAGUGAUGAAGGUCUUCGGAUCGUAAAACUCUGUUAUUAGGGAAGAACAAAUGUGUAAGUAACUAUGCACGUCUUGACGGUGCCUAAUCAGAAAGCCACGGCUAACUACGUG